AGGAAAUGAACCUGGGACAUCUCAUCCAAAAUAAAAGAUAUAUCACGUCCAAUCCUACGUGCCAAAUGCUGUCAUUAAAGCGAGAUGUUGGAGGUUGCAAUGCGGUCGCUGAGGGACAUCCGAGCCGAAACACUGGAACGCCCAAUAAACAGCAGUUAACCAACUAACACACUCUUGAUAGGUUGUGCAGAGGGGGUAGGCUAGGGGACUACAUUGAUCACCUGAGACUACACUAAUUUUUACACCCAUACUCAGUUUACUAGCAUAGCAUAACAUAACAAGCACAUACUGUAACUAGCAUAGCAUGAACCCUAAAAUCUAUGGUUGCUACAAGCGGCACAUCCGUGCAUUUAUUUACUUAAAGUGAACAGCAUGUUAUUUUAUGUUAGCUUACAUAAACAAAUAAAAACUCAGACGCCUUACAGUCCAUAAACAACGUCUACCUACAAAACCAUGCCUGUCACAAUCACAGACCUAGGCUAGGCUACUACAGAGUAGCCUACACAAGUCAGACGUAGGCUAGCGUACCCACAACAGGUUCUCAGUAGGUUCGCAUGUCUCUGCAAAUAGUUUCCACUACUACUUGAGCGAAACAAAUGCAAUCAUCGAUACUACUCAAUCACAAAAAGAAACCUCUUACUCACACAUGAGAAGUUCGCUCCCCCGAGUUUAUUCACCAAUUCAUCAACGAUGCAACUGCAUUUUCAGGUUGCGGUAAUCCACAAGUUGUGCGAGAACAUC